GUGCAUUUUUCAGCAGCACAUAUACUAAAAUAUUGUAAUGAUACAGAGAUUAGCAUGGCCUUUGCUCAAGGAUGACACACAAAUUCAUAAAUUAUAAAUGUAAAAU